CGGACUCAACGCCGGGAAACUCACCAGAUAAGACAGCUGAAUGAUAGUCGGGCUGAAGACUCUACUUGACUAGCUGAGAGGAGGUGCAUGGCCGUCGUCAGUUCGUACUGUGAAGCAUCCUGUUAAGUCAGGCAACGAGCGAGACCCACGCCAACAGUUGCCAGCUCGUCCUCCGGGAUGGUGGGGACACUGUUGGGACCGCUCUGUUAAAGAGGAGGAAGGAAUGGGCAACGGUAGGUCAGCAUGCCCCGAAUUAUCUGGGCUACACGCGGGCUACAAUGGGUGGGACAAUGGGUAUCGACACCGAAAGGUGAAGGCAAUCUCCUAAACCCAUCCGUAGUUCGGAUUGUGGGCUGCAACUCGCCCACAUGAAGCUGGAAUCUGUAGUAAUCGUGUCUCAAAAUGGCACGGUGAAUAUGUCCCUGCUCCUU
rnacentral:rRNA from 1 species